CCUCGCCUCCGCCACGGCAGCCACACGCCUCCCUAUUCCCGCUUUUUUUCCCCUACACAAACCAGUGGUUCAUCCCACAAAACGUAACGGUCAUAGCACCUCGCUUUCAACAGACAAAGGAACGAUGCUGCCCCCUACCCACGUCUACUCCCUCAUCAUCCACAACAAAACCUCAAAGGAGAUGACGGUGAUGGUUACGUACUCAAAUAUGAUUGACAACACACUGGCGCAGCACAGCGUUGUGGUCGCCGCUGGUGAGAAGGGUGUCGCGGAGCAGCGUACCUUUGCAUGGAACGGGGCGACAUUUGCGGUUGUUAUCACCGCGGUAGACGUCAAGGACGCACAAACGGCGCUUACGGCUCCGUUUCCAGGGGUGGACAGCCCCACGAGUGACUACCUCAUCACCAUUGUGGAGGAGAGCGGCACGGUUCAUCUGAAAGCAGGGCAGCCGUGAGAGGCGCGUGGUUCACAGGACGCGCACCGAGUACAAAAAACAUAUUGGUCUGCAUUUUCCUUUGGCCCUUUUUCGCCUUUUUUUUUGCUACGCUGCGGGACAUCGACGCAUAUGUGCGAGGCUACGGGGGAAUACUACAUGCGGUGCUUCUUUUUUUCUCGUACCGUUUCACACGCUUCUUUUCUGAGCAAGCACUUUCGCGGUGCGCCAUAGGAUGUGGCGGGCUCUUUCCUUGCCUUCUCAGCGCCAUGCUUUGCUCCUUUUCUUUUCAGCUCACGAGUCGAAGUUUCCAGGCCUCUCUCUUCCUCUUUCUGUGGUGAUGCUUGUAUGUAUGCAUGUGCACGUGCAGCCCAACAGCGCUGCCUUUUUUUUUUCUGGCGUCAUUUCUGUAUUUCUCUUUGCUUUUUCCAUUCAUCUCUCACUCUUUCUGCGUGUGCAACACAG
rnacentral:misc_RNA from 1 species